rnacentral:misc_RNA from 1 species
CGGUUUUGACAGGAAACAGGAAGUAGUAUCUAACGCGUGCGUGCAACGUGGCCUCCAUCUUGUGUACGACGGAAGCUGUCAACAUAAAUCUGAGGCGUGUUUAUCAACGUUCACUCCAGAGUGAAAAAGAGAGAUAUCUUCUGACAGGUUUCCAGUUGUAUGAACAGACAAGUGGAUUAACACCAAACUGACUCGUAAUUAGUUUACCUGAUAGUAAAAACGGAACAGUUUAAUAUGUGGUAGUCUGACACUCAUCAUCCACUAGUUACCAUUGACAACACCAGCUGUAGAGAUGGGAGCCAACAGUAGUAGUAUGGGUGAGCUGGCCAAUAACGACUACCUAAAACGUCUGGCCAGUAACACCCCCAUCAACCCUAUAGACCCGUUCUUGAACCAGCUACUAUCUUACUCCUUCCUCAUACCCAUCAACAGUGCUGAUGGUAAACUUCUGGAGGAAUCCACAGUGGGCAUCUGUAAGACUCUAGCUAUCAAUAAUGCCCGCUCAGGAAACUUCGGAGCACUAGUUCGAAACUUCCUUGUACGGGCAACGGAACUGAAGGCCUCGGCACAGUGUGAAGAUAACAUCUUUACUUGGCAGACCUACAAUGCCCUGUUUGUCAUCAGAAGUCUGUGUAAAUACUUCGUGGAACACCUCAGUGAAGAACUCAUUCUACAACAGUUUGAGGCCAAACCUCCAGACAUGGGAGGUUACGCUGACCCUGAGGACAUCGGACCACUGACAGAGGAACUGAUGAACUCGCUGGUAGAACUCCUUGUUGAUGUACCCGUCGUGAGUUUUACGUAUGCUCUCCACCUCGAGGCUCUAAACACACUGUUGGUGUUGCUGUCUCUACAAAUGUUCCAGCCCCAACCUGCCUCCAAGUUCGUCUUAUACAAAUACAUCAUGCAGGGGCGAUGUUCCAUCCACGCCUGUCUGCUGGUCAAAUCUCUGUUACGGAAUUUUUCAAUCCAAGAGAAGUGCCCGCCUGAAUUAUAUAAACACACUGGUGACGGUAAUAGUGUCAUGGCUUCCGUCGCUGCCAGUUUUUGGUCUGUGAUGACACUAGGUAUGGGAGGAGCCACAGAAAAGAAGGACGAUGAUUUCCAUGAGACAUUAUUAGCCAAUCAGAGCCUUUUAUUUAUGUUGGUGCUGACUAAUCACUGUACGACAGAUCACGGCAUACACAACCCAUACAGACAGGCAUUGUUCGCCUUCACAAACUCACAAGACCCGUCAUCCUCAAGUCCUACCCAAACACCAGCCACAUUCAAACUAGAUUUCAGCCAAUUAUACGAUGCCUUAUGUGUUGCCCUUAGAGACGACCAAUCAACACUGCUGUUAUAUUUGCUCAUACACCGGAACACACUAAUGAAAGCAUUCAUACUGUCGAGGACAAAUAUCGAUCAACUGGUGAUGCCACUACUGAAGAUCCUAUACCACGCCCAGGAUAGAAACUCCCACCACAUAUACAUGGCUCUUAUCAUCCUCCUUAUACUUAGUGAGGACGAAGUUUUCAACAAAGCUGUCCACGAAAUCGUGAUAAGAAAUAUUCCCUGGUUCAAAGAGAGGCCGAUCUCUGAGAUAACACUGGGCGGUCUGCUGAUACUGGUGGUGAUCAGAACGAUACAGUACAACAUGACUCGUAUGAGGGACAAAUACCUGCACACAAAUUGUCUGGCCGCCCUUGCUAACAUGUCAUCUCAAUUUACCAACCUCCAUCCUUAUGUUGCCCAGAGACUAGUCAGUUUGUUUUCCCAAUUGUGUAAAAAGCACUCCCGCAUCAUUGAGCAAAUACGACAGGCCGCUAUGGAACCUGCGGGGUCGGGAGAGGCUGAGGGUGGCGCAGAGAAAGAGGAUCACGAGGAGGAGCCAGACCCGGAACAGGAUUAUAUGCAGGACCUUGCUGUACUGGAGGAGGUGCUAAGGAUGAUGUUAGAGAUACUAAACUCCUGUCUGUCAAGUUCCCUCCAUCACAACCCUAACCUGGUCUACACUCUCCUCUAUAGGAAGGAGCUGUUCGCCCAGUUCAGGACGCAUCCCACCUUCCAGGACAUCAUACAGAACGUUGACACGGUACUCUCCUUCUUUAAUACAAAACUAGAACAAAAUGGCCACAAAGCUAACGUGUCCCCGGCUGAAGUGUUGGAGCUGAUCAAAGACGGCUCCAAACAAUUCCGAAGAGACCACUUACGGAAAUUCCCGGAUCUGAAGUUUAAAUAUGUAGAAGAGGAAUCGCCAGAGGAAUUCUUCAUCCCCUACAUCUGGUCCCUAGUCUAUCACUCAUCAAACAUGUACUUCAACGCCUCCCGCAUCGUCCUCUUCUCGCUCACAUCUUCAUGAUGAAAGCCAUGUGACUCAAGUCGAGGUCAUGAUUAUUACUGAAUGACAAAGGUCAAGAUCAUAUGACAGUGACAUGACUAAGGUCAAGCUUACAACUGCAGAUGAACUACAUUCAAGAUCAUGAUUACUGGAUUGUAGUCAAGGUCAUGUUGACACUAUCUGGUCUGUGAUCAAAAUCCCCCAGAGUACUGUUGUCAUGGUUACCAGUGCCACAGGACCAGGUUUAAAUGCAUGGUUAUUGAUAUGGGCCACUUCUGGACUGUGUGUCAUAAUGACGGUCACAAGACUAAAGUCAAGAUAAUGAUUGUGAUUACCAGGCUAUGAUCACCAUCCUGUCAACUCUGUAUGGGCUACGGACAUUAUCAUAAUGAUCUCUACAGGGCUAUAGCAGAGGUCAUAGUGACUGCUACAAAAUCAUGGUCAUUUUUGAUCUUGUGAAUUAUUCUAAAUAGAAUCAAGGUCAUAUUGUUACUGUGAGACUUAGUCAAGGUCAUGAUGAUCACUGAGACUAGGUCAAGGUCAUGAUCACUGAGAUUAGGUCAAGGUCAUGAUGAUCACUGUGAGACAAGGUCAAGGUUAUUUUAUGUAAUACAUAUCUGUGUUAGAUAUUUGUCCCAAGUAACAGUACAGAGAGAAUUUCAAAAUAUAUGUUCAGUGUGAGUUAAAAGAUAAGGAUUUUUUUACUGUAUAGUUGUUUAAUUCCACAGGGAUAAUACCUUGCUAUCGUCCUUAUCAGAACUAGUUCACGGGGAUUCAAUUUGUACAACACUGCCUCUUCAAAAAUAUUCAGAGAUUUUAAAUCACGAUUUUAAUAUUCACCAGAUAUUUAACUUCACACUAUCAUUGAUGGCCACCAAUAUAGCGAAAGUAAAACCCCUGUGAAUAUUACCAAGUAUAGAGAAGCUCUCGAAGAGUGUUCCUCAUAAUGUUUUGUAGUUUGAAUAGUUAAUGGUGAAUGUAUUUAUAGCCAACAUAUUAACCCUUUUACCCCUAGGUAACUUUAGUAGACUCUACCAUACAUUUAUCUGGGCGAGUCCAUUAUGGUCUACAGU